rnacentral:rRNA from 1 species
CCUACGGGAGGCAGCAGUGAGGAAUAUUGGUCAAUGGACGAGAGUCUGAACCAGCCAAGUAGCGUGAAGGAUGACUGCCCUAUGGGUUGUAAACUUCUUUUAUAUGGGAAUAAAACGUUCCACGUGUGGGAUUUUGUAUGUACCCUAUGGAUAAGGAUCGGCGAACUCCGUUCCCGCAGCCGCGGUAAUACGGAGGAUCCGAGCGGUAUCCGGAUUUAAUGGGUUUAAAGGGAUCGUAGGGGGAAUGUUAAGUCAGUUGGGAAAGUUUCCGGGCCAACCGUAACAUUGCAGUUGAAACUGGCAGUCUUGAGUACAGUAGAGGUGGGCGGAAUUCGUGGUGUAGCGGUGAAAUGCUUAGAUAUCACGAAGAACUCCGAUUGCGAAGGCAGUUCACUGGACUGCAACUGACACUGAGGCUCGAAAGUGUGGGUAUCAAACAGGAUUAGAUACCCUAGUAGUC